GAUGAACGCUGGGGGCGUGCCUAAUACAUGCAAGUCGAGCGAACAGACGAGGAGCUUUCUCCUUCGACGUUAGCGGCGGACGGGUGAGUAACACGUAGGUAACCUACCUAUAAGACUGGGAUAACUUCGGGAAACCGGAGCUAAUACCGGAUAAUAUUUCGAACCGCAUGGUUCGAUAGUGAAAGAUGGCUUUGCUAUCACUUAUAGAUGGACCUGCGCCGUAUUAGCUAGUUGGUAAGGUAACGGCUUACCAAGGCAACGAUACGUAGCCGACCUGAGAGGGUGAUCGGCCACACUGGAACUGAGACACGGUCCAGACUCCUACGGGAGGCAGCAGUAGGGAAUCUUCCGCAAUGGGCGAAAGCCUGACGGAGCAACGCCGCGUGAGUGAUGAAGGUCUUCGGAUCGUAAAACUCUGUUAUUAGGGAAGAACAAACGUGUAAGUAACUGUGCACGUCUUGACGGUACCUAAUCAGAAAGCCACGGCUAACUACGUG
rnacentral:rRNA from 1 species